rnacentral:lncRNA from 1 species
AAAGAUAAAAUUUCUUACCACAUUGGUUGUUGCAAGUGGAUUGAUACUUUGAUAUAUCAAAGAACGAGCGACCAUCAUGCAAACGACUGACUCUUCGUAGAUUUACCACUGAGGCUUUUGAACUAUCUAAGCAGAAACACUCUUGUAUGUCACAAUAUGAAGGAGAAAAAUGCAUCUCUUGCAGCUUCCUUUCGAGAAAAAGAUCGGGAAUCAUUUCAAAUCCUAGAUCUCGAGGAAGAAUUUCACCGUCAAUUUGACAUUGACAAAAUAGUCUAGAGGCAGCUGGGAACAAGAAAGACGAUUUGGGACUUGAACAAUCAAGAUUUAUGUUAGAUGGAGGAUAAAGAAAUGGUGGAAUUUCUCACCAUUGUUAGUCA